rnacentral:rRNA from 1 species
UUGGAGGGCAAGUCUGGUGCCAGCAGCCGCGGUAAUUCCAGCUCCAAUAGCGUAUAUUAAAGUUGUUGCAGUUAAAAAGCUCGUAGUUGAAUUUCGGGGUCAGUAGGUCGGUCGUGCCACUGGUAUGAACUGGUUUUACUGAUUCCUCCCUCUUGAAGAACUGUAAUGCCAUUAAUUUGGUGUUGCAGGGAAUCAGGACUGUUACUUUGAAAAAAUUAGAGUGUUUAAAGCAGGCUUUAGCUUGAAUACAUUAGCAUGGAGUAAUGAAAUAGGACGUUUGAUCCUAUUUUGUUGGUUUCUAGGAUUGACGUAAUGAUUAAUAGGGAUAGUUGGGGGCAUUAGUAUUCAAUUGUCAGAGGUGAAAUUCUUGGAUUUAUUGAAGACUAACUACUGCGAAAGCAUUUGCCAAGGAUGUUUUCACUAAUCAAGAACGAAAGUUAGGGGAUCGAAGACGAUCAGAUACCGUCGUAGUCUUAACCAUAAACUAUGCCGACUAGGGAUCGGAUGAUGUUAAUUUUUUAAUGACUCAUUCGGCGCCUUACGGGAAAC